rfam:Triticum aestivum genome assembly, contig: Triticum_aestivum_CS42_TGACv1_scaffold_178226_2DS
UAUAUACUCCCUCUGUUUUAAAAUACUUGACUUUCAUUUGUUCAAAAAGGAUGUAUCUAUAUACUAAAACAUGUAUAGAUACAUUUAUAUUUUGACAAAGCAAGUAUUGUAAAACGGAGGGAGUAUAUA